rnacentral:rRNA from 1 species
UACAGAGGUGGCGAGCGUUGUUCGGAUUUACUGGGCGUAAAGCGUGCGUAGGUGGUCUGGUAUGUCGGGUGUGAAAGCCCACUGCUCAACGGUGGAAAUGCACUCGAAACUGCCAGGCUUGAGUACAGGAGGGGAGAGCGGAAUUCUUGGUGUAGCGGUGAAAUGCGUUGAUAUCAAGAAGAACGCCGGUGGCGAAGGCGGCUCUCUGGAAUGUUACUGACACUGAGGCACGAAAGCUAGGGGAACAAACAGGAUUAGAUACCCGCGUA